UGUUUGCAUGUUCAGCCUUUCGGGGUGCAUUCAUGCAAAGGUCUAUCUGUUGUGGGCUUUUGGCAGUCGAUUUUGGGCUGCUGGAGGCUGAGGGCUCCGCGUAAGCGUUGAGGACGACAGAGUGACUACGCGAUUCGACCCGUCUUGAAACACGGACCAAGGAGUCUAGCGCAGCUGCGAGUCAAAGGGUGCGAAACCCCAGGGCGCAGUGAAAGCAAAUUGUUUGUGAAAACCAGCAGUUUGAGGCGGCAUGUGAUCUUUGAUUGCAAGUCCGACCUAGAGCAGUUGCGCUGGGACCCGAAAGAUGGUGAACUAUGCCGGAGUAGGGCGAAGCCAGAGGAAACUCUGGUGGAGGCUCGUAGCGGUGCUGACGUGCAAAUCGCUCGUCCAACUCGGGUAUAGGGGCGAAAGACUAAUCGAACCAUCUAGUAGCUGGUUCCCUCCGAAGUUUCUCUCAGGAUAGCGGGCAGAUAUGACGUUGUUUUGUGCGGUAAAGCGAAUGAUUAGCGCAUUCGGGGACGUUUAGUCUUCGGGCGAUUCUCAAACUUUAAAUGCGCAAGGGUGCCGCUGCUUUAUUGAGCGGUACCGUUAAAAACGUCUGCCCUGUGGGCCACUUUUGGUAAGCAGAACCGGCGAUACGGGAUGAACCGUAAGCCUGGUUAAGGCGUCAAAUUGUCGGCUUAAAGAUCCCAAAAAAGGUGUUGAUUCAUCGAGACAGCAGGACGGUGGCCAUGGAAGUCGGAAUCCGCUAAGGAGUGUGUAACAACUCACCUGCCGAAUGAAUUAGCCCUGAAAAUGGAUGACGCUGAAGCCGACAGCCGACACCACGCCGUCUGACCAAAGUGGUUAUCAGAUGAGUAGGAGGGCGUGGCGGUUGUAUGGAAGCGUGGGUGCGAACCUGCGUGAAACGGCCGCUAGUGCAGAUCUUGGUGGUAGUAGCAAAUAUUCAAGUGAGAUCCUUGAAGGACGAAGCGGGGAAGGGUUCCACGCGAACAUUGAUUGAGCGUGGGUGAGUCGUUCCUAAGCCGAGUGGUUAUUGCUAAUUACCGGCGAAAGGGAAGCAGGUUGACAUUCCUGCACACGGAUGUGGAGGCGGUGACGCCGUAUUGGGGUGAUGACGUUGGCAGUGGCUCUGGGCAGAGUUGUCUUUUCUGUUUAACCGUCAGUAUGUACUCUGUGGAAUCCGCUUGUCGGGAGAAACAGGUAUGUACGGGCAUAGCGCCGGGGCUUUUCCGGCGUCCAGAUCGCCACUGACGACCCUUGAAAAAUCACUUACUGGGCAUGGACUCGUUCUGUGCAAAAUCCACG
rnacentral:rRNA from 1 species